rnacentral:rRNA from 1 species
AUUGAACGCUGGCGGCAUGCCUUACACAUGCAAGUCGAGCGGCAGCGCGGGGGCAACCCUGGCGGCGAGCGGCGAACGGGUGAGCAAUACAUCGGAACGUGUCCUGGAGUGGGGGAUAGCUCGGCGAAAGCCGGAUUAAUACCGCAUACGCUCUGAGGAGGAAAGCGGGGGACCUGGUAACGGGCCUCGCGCUGCAGGAGUGGCCGAUGUCGGAUUAGCUAGUUGGCGGGGUAAGAGCCCACCAAGGCGACGAUCCACAGCUGGUCUGAGAGGACGAUCAGCCACACUGGGACUGAGACACGGCCCAGACUCCUACGGGAGGCAGCAGUGGGGAAUCUUGCGCAAUGCGCGAAAGCGUGACGCAGCAAUGCCGCGUGUGGGAAGAAGGGCUUCGGCUCGUAAACCACUUUCAGUUGGGACGAAGCUGUCGCCGUUAAUAGCGGUGUGCAGUGACGGUACCUUCACAAGAAGCCCCGGCUAACUACGUGCCAGCAGCCGCGGUAACAC